CCUACGGGAGGCAGCAGUGAGGAAUAUUGGUCAAUGGGCGAGAGCCUGAACCAGCCAAGUAGCGUGCAGGAAGACGGCCCUAUGGGUUGUAAACUGCUUUUAUGCGGGGAUAAAGUGAGCCACGUGUGGCUUAUUGCAGGUACCGCAUGAAUAAGGACCGGCUAAUUCCGUGCCAGCAGC
rnacentral:rRNA from 1 species